rnacentral:rRNA from 1 species
UAUCGGUAUGGGAUGGGGUCGCGUCCUAUCAGCUUGAUGGCGGGGUAACGGCCCACCAUGGCUUCGACGGGUAGCCGGCCUGAGAGGGCGACCGGCCACAUUGGGACUGAGAUACGGCCCAGACUCCUACGGGAGGCAGCAGUGGGGAAUAUUGCACAAUGGGCGCAAGCCUGAUGCAGCGACGCCGCGUGCGGGAUGACGGCCUUCGGGUUGUAAACCGCUUUUGACUGGGAGCAAGCCCUUCGGGGUGAGUGUACCUUUCGAAUAAGCACCGGCUAACUACGUGCCAGCAGCCGCGGUAAUACGUAGGGUGCAAGCGUUAUCCGGAAUUAUUGGGCGUAAAGGGCUCGUAGGCGGUUCGUCGCGUCCGGUGUGAAAGUCCAUCGCUUAACGGUGGAUCCGCGCCGGGUACGGGCGG